AGCGGCGGACGGGUGAGUAAUGCUUAGGAAUCUGCCUAUUAGUGGGGGACAACAUUCCGAAAGGGAUGCUAAUACCGCAUACGUCCUACGGGAGAAAGCAGGGGAUCUUCGGACCUUGCGCUAAUAGAUGAGCCUAAGUCGGAUUAGCUAGUUGGUGGGGUAAAGGCCUACCAAGGCGACGAUCUGUAGCGGGUCUGAGAGGAUGAUCCGCCACACUGGGACUGAGACACGGCCCAGACUCCUACGGGAGGCAGCAGUGGGGAAUAUUGGACAAUGGGGGGAACCCUGAUCCAGCCAUGCCGCGUGUGUGAAGAAGGCCUUAUGGUUGUAAAGCACUUUAAGCGAGGAGGAGGCUACUGAGACUAAUACUCUUGGAUAGUGGACGUUACUCGCAGAAUAAGCACCGGCUAACUCUGUGCCAGCAGCCGCGGUAAUACAGAGGGUGCGAGCGUUAAUCGGAUUUACUGGGCGUAAAGCGUGCGUAGGCGGCUUUUUAAGUCGGAUGUGAAAUCCCCGAGCUUAACUUGGGAAUUGCAUUCGAUACUGGGAAGCUAGAGUAUGGGAGAGGAUGGUAGAAUUCCAGGUGUAGCGGUGAAAUGCGUAGAGAUCUGGAGGAAUACCGAUGGCGAAGGCAGCCAUCUGGCCUAAUACUGACGCUGAGGUACGAAAGCAUGGGGAGCAAACAGGAUUAGAUACCCUGGUAGUCCAUGCCGUANACGAUGUCUACUAGC
rnacentral:rRNA from 1 species